rnacentral:rRNA from 1 species
UACGUAGGUGGCAAGCGUUGUCCGGAAUUACUGGGUGUAAAGCGCGUGUAGGCGGGAGGCCAAGUCUGCUGUGAAAUCGCUCGGCUCAACUGGGCGGGGUCGGUGGAAACUGGUCACCUGGAGGACGGUAGAGGCGAGUGGAAUUCCCGGUGUAGUGGUGAAAUGCGUAGAGAUCGGGAGGAACACCAGUGGCGAAGGCGGCUCGCUGGGCCGGUCCUGACGCUGGGACGCGAAGGCGUGGGGAGCGAACGGG